rnacentral:rRNA from 1 species
UACGGAGGGGGUUAGCGUUGUUCGGAAUGACUGGGCGUAAAGCGCGCGUAGGCGGAUCAGGAAGUUGGGGGUGAAAUCCCGGGGCUCAACCCCUGAAUGGCCUUCAAAACUCCUGGUCUUGAGUUCGAGAGAGGUGAGUGGAAUUCCGAGUGUAGAGGUGAAAUUCGUAGAUAUUCGGAGGAACACCAGUGGCGAAGGCGGCUCACUGGCUCGACACUGACGCUGAGGUGCGAAAGCGUGGGGAGCAAACAGG